GGAGAAGUGGCCGAGCGGCUUAAGGCGCUUUCCUGCUAAGAAAGAGCGGUUUAACACCCGUCGUGGGUUCAAAUCCCACCUUCUCCG
rnacentral:tRNA from 1 species